AACCGCAACGCAUUGUUUGGUU
rnacentral:siRNA from 1 species